GAUGAAGAACGUAGCGAAAUGCGAUAAGUAAUGUGAAUUGCAGAAUUCAGUGAAUCAUCGAAUCUUUGAACGCACCUUGCGCCCCUUGGUUAUUCCAAAGGGCAUGCCUGUUUGAGUAUCUUGAACACCUCAACUCUUGUGGUUUCCCACAAUGAGCUUGGACUGUGGAGGUUUUGUUGGCCCUGUGGUCAGCUCCUCUCAAAUGGAUCAGCUUACCGGUGUUUGGUGGCAUUACGGGUGUGAUAACUAUCUACGCUCGUGGUCGUCUCCAAAUAACCUCCAGUGAUGGAGGUUCGCUGGAGCUUAUAAAUGUCUCUCCCCAGUGAAGACAGCCUUUGAACGUUCGAUCUCAAAUCAGGUAGGACUACCCGCUGAACUUAAGCAUAUCAAUAAGCGGAGGA
rnacentral:misc_RNA from 1 species